rnacentral:RNase_P_RNA from 2 species
GUGAUGAGUCGCUCCACCGCGGCGCCGCAAGGCGACGAGGAAAGUCCGGGCAACACAGAGCACCCUGCUUCCUAACGGGAAGGACCGGGAAGUGUAACGCAACCCGGGACAGCCAGUGCCACAGAAAAUAACCGCCCGAUGGCGGAUGAGCGGAAUGGCGGAUUGGUGGAGUAAAAUCCAUCACGCCACCAACCCACUACUCCACCAUCGGGUAAGGGUGAAAAGGUGCGGUAAGAGCGCACCAGCGGCUGGGUGACCAGUCCGGCUGGGUAAACCUCAGGGGUUGAAAGACCAAAUAAGCUGGCACGCGUCCUGCGCGGACGUACCGGGCGGCUCGUCCGGGGCCAGCGGGUAGGUUGAUGGAGCCUUUCCGCGAGGACUGGCCUAGAUAAAUGGUGGAGGCGCGGCCUUUCGGGGCAGCGUACAAAACCCGGCUUACAGACUCAUCACCACG